UACGAAGGGGGCUAGCGUUGCUCGGAAUGACUGGGCGUAAAGGGCGCGUAGGCGGGUUGCACAGUCGGGCGUGAAAUUCCUGGGCUUAACCUGGGGGCUGCGUUCGAGACGUGUGGCCUAGAGUGGGGAAGAGGGUCGUGGAAUUCCCAGUGUAGAGGUGAAAUUCGUAGAUAUUGGGAAGAACACCGGUGGCGAAGGCGGCGACCUGGUCCUUGACUGACGCUGAGGCGCGAAAGCGUGGGGAGCAAACAGG
rnacentral:rRNA from 1 species